GAUGAACGCUGGCGGCGUGCCUAAUACAUGCAAGUCGAGCGAACGGACGAGAAGCUUGCUUCUCUGAUGUUAGCGGCGGACGGGUGAGUAACACGUGGAUAACCUACCUAUAAGACUGGGAUAACUUCGGGAAACCGGAGCUAAUACCGGAUGAUAUUUUGAACCGCAUGGUUCAAAAGUGAAAGACGGUCUUGCUGUCACUUAUAGAUGGAUCCGCGCUGCAUUAGCUAGUUGGUAAGGUAACGGCUUACCAAGGCAACGAUGCAUAGCCGACCUGAGUGGGUGAUCGGCCACACUGGAACUGAGACACGGUCCAGACUCCUACGGGAGGCAGCAGUAGGGAAUCUUCCGCAAUGGGCGAAAGCCUGACGGAGCAACGCCGCGUGAGUGAUGAAGGUCUUCGGAUCGUAAAACUCUGUUAUUAGGGAAGAACAUAUGUGUAAGUAACUGUGCACAUCUUGACGGUACCUAAUCAGAAAGCCACGGCUAACUACGUG
rnacentral:rRNA from 1 species